AUUGAACGCUGGCGGAAUGCUUUACACAUGCAAGUCGAACGGCAGCACGGACUUCGGUCUGGUGGCGAGUGGCGAACGGGUGAGUAAUGUAUCGGAACGUGCCCAGUCGUGGGGGAUAACGUAGUGAAAAUUACGCUAAUACCGCAUACGAUCUAUGGAUGAAAGCGGGGGAUCGCAAGACCUCGCGCGAUUGGAGCGGCCGAUAUCAGAUUAGGUAGUUGGUGGGGUAAAGGCCCACCAAGCCAACGAUCUGUAGCUGGUCUGAGAGGACGACCAGCCACACUGGAACUGAGACACGGUCCAGACUCCUACGGGAGGCAGCAGUGGGGAAUUUUGGACAAUGGACGCAAGUCUGAUCCAGCCAUUCCGCGUGCAGGAUGAAGGCCCUCGGGUUGUAAACUGCUUUUGUACGGAACGAAAAGGUUUCUACUAAUACUAGGAGCUCAUGACGGUACUGUAAGAAUAAGCACCGGCUAACUACGUGCCAGCAGCCGCGGUAA
rnacentral:rRNA from 1 species